CUGGAGUCUCAUUCAAACGCUGGAGGCCUUGAGCGGAGGAAGUUGCCAUGGAAACGGGGCGACAACACCAACUGACAAACUUCCCUCGCAGCUGUUUUCACUUCUUUCAGAAACCUUUGAAAGGGUCCGUUAGCAUCUCAACUGUUUUCAGGCUAGAUUCUUCUAUGAUGAUGGCAGUUCAGCAGAGUUGGAGCAGACCUCCUCUCGGACAACAUCUCUAAGUGCUAUGAACAAUAUGACUAGGUAAGGCCGCAAGAACCACAGAGUAAAAGCACAACUUCAGGGGUGAGCAAAGGCCAAAACAACAAACAAACACCAAGUCAGCUCCUAACAGAGAAUACUAAAUUCCCUAACAAAAGAAAAACUAAAUAAAAAUACAAAAUGCUACCCUAACUCCCUAUCUAAUGAAAAACAUAUAUUUGCAAAAGAAAAAUGGCACUCAUCCCCUACAGCUUCCAAGUGUGAAAAGAGAGUAUUUACAAUACUUUACAAAAUAUACAAAAUGGAAAAUGAGAUUGACAACACCUUAUCAACUCAAAAUCCACACUGCACACAAUAGGCAGAUCAACAGGAC
ensembl:lncRNA